rnacentral:sRNA from 1 species
AUCGGAAGCCCUUCCAGCUCCGUGGCUUCAUGAUUGUCUACAACUUCUCACUGGUGGCACUCUCCCUCUACAUUGUCUAUGAGUUCCUGAUGUCGGGCUGGCUGAGCACCUAUACCUGGCGCUGUGACCCUGUGGACUAUUCCAACAGCCCUGAGGCACUUAGGAUGGUUCGGGUGGCCUGGCUCUUCCUCUUCUCCAAGUUCAUUGAGCUGAUGGACACAGUGAUCUUUAUUCUCCGAAAGAAAGACGGGAGGAAUGGGCUCUUUCCAUGCCAUGAUAAACUCUUCUGUGCAUGUCAUAAUGUACCUGUACUACGGAUUAUCUGCCUUUGGCCCUGUGGCACAACCCUACCUUUGGUGGAAAAAGCACAUGACAGCCAUUCAGCUGAUCCAGUUUGUCCUGGUCUCACUGCACAUCUCCCAGUACUACUUUAUGUCCAGCUGUAACUACCAGUACCCAGUCAUUAUUCACCUCAUCUGGAUGUAUGGCACCAUCUUCUUCGUGCUGUUCUCCAACUUCUGGUAUCACUCUUAUACCAAGGGCAAGCGGCUGCCCCGUGCACUUCAGCAAAAUGGAGCUCCAGGUAUUGCCAAGGUCAAGGCCAACUGAGAAGCAUGGCCUAGAUAGGCGCCCACCUAAGUGCCUCAGGACUGCACCUUAGGGCAGUGUCCUUCAGUGCCCUCUCCACCUACACCUGUGACCAAGGCUUAUGUGGUCAGGACUGAGCAGGGGACUGGCCCUCCCCUCCCCACAGCUGCUCUACAGGGACCACGGCUUUGGUUCCUCACCCACUUCCC